AGGAAAAUCAUCACCAGCCACAGGACAGUCCCGAGAGCUGCAGGGGUCUGUCCAGUCUCAGGUGGGGCCCUGACCCCGGGGCCCAUUCCAUCUCCAGGACACCAAACUGCCUUUCAGUAGAGGACCACUGAGUGGGGUUUCACGGUGGGAGCAGGAGUUCUCCAGCUGGAGGCCGGGGCGGCCAGCGGGCCAGUGGGAAGGGCUCCAGGCAGGUCCAGGAGAAGGUUUGGAGCUGGAGGUGGGAGGGGUCUGGAUCCCAUCUUUUAGACAAAGAGGAGCCAUAAAGACAUUUUAAGCGGCCAAGGACGGUCGGGUGUGCCCAUGCUGAGGGUCCAGUGCGUGUGUUCCUUCUCCAGAAAACGAGCCACCAAGCAGCAGCUUCCCGGGGCUGCACUCCCCUCCCGCCCAGCCUGGACUCUGGUGUCCUGGGAGCCCGUCCCCCUGGUGGUGUUGGUCCCCAGAGUUCUUGGGCUCGCCCCUGGCUACAGCGGCAGGACCUGGCCCGGUCCUUCAGGAGGCUGUUGCCCCGCCCGAUGGACACAGCAGUGGAGGCCUGCGGGGGUCGGCGGUGGGCACGGAGCCACUGUGGGUCACUGCACCCUCAGCCAGGCCCCUGGCCUUGGGUUCCCAGACAGGCCCAGAGGGGGUGCAGCCGGGGAGGGUCACGGUCCACCCAGGCCAUGGUCCUGGCAGCUGCCGUCCCCUCCUGAGGGCCACCCUGGCGCCCACAGCGGGGAGCAGCCUGAAAGCUGGCCGCCGUGACCGUGUCCAAGGGCAUCAGCUCCGGGCGCCAGAGGUCAGCCUGCCUGCGGCCCCGCGGCAGCCCAGGCCGUCAGGGCGCGGCCGGGACACCACACUGGUGCCCGCACCCGUCCACCUGGGGAGACCUCCCCCUGCACCGUGGCCGGCCUCACUCCUUCCCCCAGCGAGUGCCGGGCACCGUCCGCACCCACAC
rnacentral:lncRNA from 1 species